GAAAGUUAUCUGGUGAUCUGACUGUAAUAUAUCUGUUAGCUACCCCAUUGAUCCCCAGCGUUAAGUUGGCUGAUCUAGCUAGUUAACAGGUGUUCUGUUCCUCCCUCACUGCUCCCAUGUGUACCCCUCCUGAAGAUGUACACUAUCAAAGAGGACAACCUUCCCCAAUAGAGGAGAACCAGUCUUUAGUCAAGAGUAGCUGUUUUCCCCUGCUAGAACUUCCAAGCAAGUUUUCCAAAAGUAAGACUACUUACUGAUUCAAGGCAUUUAAAGAACCCAUUUUCUAACUGGCGUAAGCAGUUGCUCAGAUGUCAGGCUUA
rnacentral:snRNA from 1 species